AAUUCUUGAAAAUCACUACAAAAAUUAGAUUGCAUAUUUCAACCGAACGUCAGCUAAAAAACUAAAUCUGUUCACAAAUUUCAAGGGUGGCGAGCAUGAAGUUCGUUAUCGUUAUUUUAUUAAUUGGUUUUUCUUUGGGGCUGUCGUCCGAACGCAAAGCAAAGUUUGUGGUUAACUUUGCUAGAAUAAGAAAAAAUUGUAAGAGUUUGAAUAGCCAAGGACAAUGUUAUUCCCUCGUUCAGAGAGACAAUUCCGAACGCAAACCAAAGUUUGUGGAGACCUUUGGUAGAGUAAGAAAAAAUUGUAAGAUGUUAAACCAUCAAGGGCAUUGUGUGCCCGAUGUAAAUAUCAAAGACGUUCAGAGAGACAAUUCCGAACGCAAUGCAAAGUUUGUGGCGUACUUUGGUGGAGUAAGAAAAAAUUGCAAGCUGUUAAAUCACCGAGGACAUUGUAUUCCAGAAGUAAUUACCAAAGAAGAUCCCUAUAGCGAAGCCACUUCGGAAGACUUUUAAAUUCAUGAGCGCUAAGUUGUUGUUGUUGUUUGUUUGUUUCUUCAAACUCAGGACAAUAUCCUGUCCUUAAAUUAUGAAUUUGUCUAAUAAUAACCAAUUUUGUUUUUAAUAUUGAAUUGUAUUUACCCCUCAAAUAUACUAUAUACCCCUCAAAUAUACUAUAUAUCCCUCAAA